UUAUUUGUUUAUAUUUUAGUCCCUGGACGAUUCAGAUUUAAGUGGACAAGAAAUUACAACCCUAGAACUUUUCCAGCAAUCCAGUUUGGGGGACCGAAGUAUUGGUCAGGAGCUAGCGAAACUGGGUCUAGUCAAAUAUAAAUCAUAAAGUUUAGUUGAACUUUUCAUUUACAAUUUUAAUUUGUUACAUUUUCUGCAAAAGAAGAGCUUAAAGGCCUAAUGAAAAUUCAAAUCAUUUAUAACAUAUUGUUCAAGAGUUUUGGCUGUGGAUUUUAAUCACAAAAAUCACUAUGAUGUAAUUGUACUGUCUUCCUGAAUUGUACUUCCGAUAUUGUCACAAAUUGUACCGUAUGUGCGUAUUGAGCAAAGCUUCUCGAGAAAAUUGGCAAGAACCAUUUGACAUCUGCUCAUUUUGUAUCUAUGCAAAUCAGAUUUGUCCAGAACUGCAUUAAUCAAGUAUUGCCUUACUUCAUGUCAAACUGUGCCCUUUGUUCUGUAAUUUUUUAGUGAAAUAAAAUUAUAAUUUGAA